GGGCUUAUCUCGGUGCUCCAGUUUCCUCGCACAUCCCAAAGAGAAGCACGCUGGAUGAACUGUUAGCUUGACACUCAACCCAGCAUGCAAGGAAUCCGGGACUGCUCACCUUGAAGUCCGGUGGGGAUGUCACUGCACCAUCAACCGGCCACGUGUUGCCUGCCGUACCGGUAAAGUGGACUAACUUCACAAGUGGGGGCAAGCAUUCUUCAGUGAUUUGGAAAAGAAGCAUUAACCAGAUUUAUGGAAGUGAUCUUUGUUGGAAAAGCUAGAAGGAUCAAUCUUUUACCUCAGUUGAAUUUGUGAUGUGAAGUAGGAUUUCUUUCUGUGC